rnacentral:rRNA from 1 species
CCUACGGGUGGCUGCAGUCGAGAAUCUUCGGCAAUGGGCGCAAGCCUGACCGAGCGACGCCGCGUGGAGGACGAAGGCCUUCGGGUUGUAAACUCCUGUCGAGGGGAAAGAAGGCCGGGCAACCGGCUUGACUGAUCCCUGGAGGAAGCACGGGCUAAGUUCGUGCCAGCAGCCGCGGUAAGACGAACCGUGCGAACGUUAUUCGGAAUCACUGGGCUUAAAGCGCGUGUAGGCGGGACGGCACGUCGGCCGCUGAAAUCCCCCGGCUCAACCGGGGAACGGGCGCCGAUACGACCGCCCUGGAGGGACGUAGGGGGACCUGGAACUUCCGGUGGAGCGGUGAAAUGCGUUGAGAUCGGAAGGAACGCCCGUGGCGAAAGCGAGGUCCUGGACGUUUUCUGACGCUGAGACGCGAAAGCCAGGGGAGCGAACGGGAUUAG